CCCGGGUUGAGUGACGCGCGGCGGAGCGUCGGCCACGGGCUGGGGGCGUCUCCUCCGGGGUAGGAAAAUACAGCCAUAGGAUAAAACAUAGGGCUGGUGUGGGAUGUGGGACUGACUCAGAUGGUCCACAGCAGCAGACUAUUUGCCUCAUGUGUCUCGGAGAGGAGCUCUUUGCCAGCUGUAGAUAGUUUGAAUCCAAGGACUCUGGAGAGAGAAUAAAUGCCAGAGCCCAGAGAGUGGCACAAAGAGAAAGAACAAUGCUGCUCCUGCUUCCCAUUUGCUGCUCCUGGUUGCUGUUGUGAGACAAGAAGUCACAGAUCUACUAAAACGAGGACUGGAUUAGCUCCAAGGAACUCAAUGACCCUAACCAGCAGGAAGCAGCCAAGAAAGAACUGUGCCCCCUCUCCCACUAACCCUUUAUCUCUCUCUCCUACCUGGUGUCGGGGUAUUGGAAGGGAUUGGGGUGGAAUAGGGAGAAAAAGAUAAAAGAAACUUAAAAGAUGGUUUUUUAAAGUACAAAACAGGACUGUGUUAAGAACAAGCUUAUAGGAUAAUAAAAUAGUGUCCUCACUUGUAAUAGAGCAAAAAGUAAGAACAUUACCAGGCAACAUGAGAGAAGGAGAAAACAAGUAGGGGCAUUUGUUUCAAGCAGUAUAAUUAAGUACUUUCCUCACCAGCACCAUGCUAAAAACAUAUAAAUGCUUUAUGAGCUGAUGAGCAAGAAGAAUGCUAGGAACCAAAGCUAUCAGUAAUUGGGGCCCAGAGAAUAUAACAAAUCAAUCUGUCUUUGAUGACUUCAUGGAUAAGGAAAGUAUACCCAAGAAGGGAUUCUAAAAGGGAACAACAGAAGUAAAUUAGAAAUAAAUCUUUCAUAGAAAUAUUGCAUUUCAGUCUCUUGUUAGCUGUGAGUUACAAAUAACUUACUCUAAGGCUUUAGUCUCCUAACAGUUUCUUUUGAUAAAUGACAAGUUUAGGGAGUGUGUGUGUAUGUGUGGUGUUGGGGACUUCUA